rnacentral:rRNA from 1 species
CCCUUAGAUGUUCUGGGCGGCCCGCGCACUACAAUGGCGCUUUCAGCGAGUUCCUAUGUUGAAUUUUCCUGGGUAUUCUUGGAAGCGGCGUCUUGACUUGGGAUAGAUCCUUGUAAUUGUUGGUUUUGAACGAGGAAUUCCUUGUAAUCGCGGUUGAUCAGCUCGCGUUGAAUACGUCCCUGCCCUUUGUACACACCGCCCGUCGCUCCUACCGAUGAAUCGUCCGGUGAAGUUCACAGAGUGGCGGUUCGUGGAGUUGCUCGCGAAGUGAAAUGGACCUCACGAUUUAGAGGAAGAAGAAGUCGUAACA